CUAUGGGUUGUAAACUGCUUUUAUCCGGGAAUAAACCUUUCUACGUGUAGGAAGCUGAAUGUACCGGAAGAAUAAGGAUCGGCUAACUCCGUGCCAGCAGCCGCGGUAAUACGGAGGAUCCAAGCGUUAUCCGGAUUUAUUGGGUUUAAAGGGUGCGUAGGCGGCCUGUUAAGUCAGGGGUGAAAGACGGUAGCUCAACUAUCGCAGUGCCCUUGAUACUGAUGGGCUUGAAUGGACUAGAGGUAGGCGGAAUGAGACAAGUAGCGGUGAAAUGCAUAGAUAUGUCUCAGAACACCGAUUGCGAAGGCAGCUUACUAUGGUCUUAUUGACGCUGAGGCACGAAAGCGUGGGGAUCAAACAGGAUUAGAUACCCUGGUAGUCCACGCCCUAAACGAUGAACACUCGCUGUUGGCGAUACACAGUCAGCGGCUAAGCGAAAGCGUUAA
rnacentral:rRNA from 1 species